GACGAACGCUGGCGGCGUGCUUAACACAUGCAAGUCGAACGAAGUGGCGAACGGGUGAGUAACGCGUAGUCAACCUGCCCUUCAGGGGGGGACAACAGUUGGAAACGACUGCUAAUACCCCAUACUGAAGGGGGGGAUUGCGUCUGAUUGGCUAGUUGGGGGGGUAACGGCCCACCAAGGCGAUGAUCAGUAGCCUGGCUGAGAGGAUGAACGGGCACAUCGGGACUGAGACACGGCCCAGACUCCUACGGGAGGCAGCAGUGGGGAAGCUUCCGCAAUUGAGGAAAGUCCGACUGAGCAACGCCGCGGGAGUGAUGACGGCCUUCGGGGUGUAAAGCUCUGUUAGUCGGGACGCGGUACCGGAAUAGAAAGCAACGGCUAACUACGUGCCAGCCGCCGCGGUAAUAC
rnacentral:rRNA from 1 species